rnacentral:lncRNA from 1 species
UAUAUUAUAUAUUUAUAGUUUAUAUAUUAUAUAUAAUUUACAUAUUAUUUGUAUAUUUAAUUAUCAUAAUGCCCAGAUGGCUAAUCACUCUUAUAUUCUGCCUAGGAGCAUACACAUGGCUUGAACAGAUGAAGUCAAAUAUUCAGCAUUUAGACCUCAGCUCCUAGUACUGAAGCAACUGUUGGUGUGGGCAGAGACUCAAGAGCUGUAUCAGUUGGGUUGUUCUACUCAGAGUUACACAUGGCUGUUCUGAUCACUGGAGGCUCCCUAGUACCUGUAACAGUUGUUUGCAGACAACCACUUGUUGAGCAGUAAAGUGUGUGUGAGAAAAUGGAUAUUCUCUAACAAGGAGUCUCCGUGCUGGAGGAGAUUGUACCGGUGGCUGUGAAUCAUGAAGAGAAACGCUGUGGUGUUCGGCCUGAAAGUGCUCACUUUCUGCCCAUUUGGACUUACCUUCCACUCAGUAUAGGGUUUCCACGUGUUUAAAAAUGGAACCUGGCGGUAACAGCACUCAAAGUUUGACCCUUUCCUGUUACUCAUCUUUAUCGCAGAACCAAUGUGAUAACUUAUUAAGUUAUUAUCUUAUUAAGUCCCCAUUGAACAUGUAUUGACCCCAGUCUUGUGUUGUUGAUGUCUGGCUCGUGCCUGGGGAAACUUUAAAAAAACCCUCCAUGCUUAAGCUCCAUCCUACGAUCUCUGGGCACAGCCAGCCAUCUUUGAGACUACAAUAUGCAGCAGAGAUUGACAGCUGCUCUGAGGAAACAUUCUGCACCCUCAGAAAGCUUGGGCACAUAUUCAAAGAGUGCCUCCCACUGCAGGGCGCUCCUCCAGCCAUUGGCCUACAGCUCUAGCUCUCUGGUCUCAGCCAACAUUCUUAAAUUCUCUAAGUUCAGAUGCAUCCUCACCUCAGAGGCAAACGGUCACCAGUCAGGAAGCAGUGAAGCUAGCUAGCCUCAGGCCCAAAUCUCCAAGGCUACAGAAUCCUAUCCCACUAUUUAUUUAUGCCAGAAAAUGAUAGAAGGCUAUGGUGGUUAAGUCCCAUGCUGCUGCUUCUGAUUGUGCAGGCAUUUAAAGGAGAGAUGGGGAGAUCAGUAGACAUUGGGGAAUUCGACUAAGCUUCGACUGAGAAGGUGAGAUUAAAGCGGGACUUCACAGAUCCCUGUGAUGAGCUGAGGAGACAGAACAUCUAAUGUGCCUUCCCUUGCUGGGUGCAAUGAAAGCACAUCUCAAUGUUGGCACAGGCUUUCCUUAUAAACAGGUAUGUAUGUGUACAGGGCAGAAACGGGGCUGCAUGGGUGGGUAAUUUAUUUCUCAGCCUGAGCUUCCUGGAAUUGUUGAGGAAUUUUCAAGUUUAACAAAGACGUCAUCAUCAUCAACAGGUGAUCAACCAUCAGUUUUUUACAGUGUUCUGUGUCAUAUUUCCAGAGAGGCACUCGAUGUUUCCAGGCAUGGCCCUAAUGUUGUUGACAGGGAUGGAAAAUCUUGCAGGCAGAUCACUCCAUGAGGAGACUUCCCCCAGUAUGGGAGCAAUCACCCCAUGUUGGGAACCAAGCAUCCCCGGAGAAGCAGAAGCAAUCAUCUCCCUGUGGAGCCCAGAUUGUCUUAUCCAGUGAUAACCAGUUCUGAAAUAAGGAUACAGUGAACUAUAGACUGGCCAGGACUGCUCAACAAUGCGUAAUUCUUACUUCCUGCUCCAACCCUUGCUCUGUUUAAGCUUGAAACUUAAGUACCCCAGAAGAUAAGGCUAGAGAUGUCGGUCCCUUCAUCGGAGAACUUCCUUUCCUGCUUUCACAAUAAGCUAAGUGUUUGGAUCUCCAUCGUUGGGCUCCCUGAAGUCAGUGCCCUCUCUUAUCUAGGACUCAUGGCAAGAAGAGUACAGUUCAGUGGUGUUGUGUACAUUCACAUCGUUCAACCUUCUUCACCAUCAUCCACCCCAGAACCUUCUUAUCUUCACAAACAGAAACUGUCUAUACUUACCCAGCAGUAACUCCUUGUAUUAUUUUGUGUAUGCUUUUGUGUUUUGUGUGUAUAUGUGCACUUGCCACAUGGAUGAGCAUCAUGGAUGAACAUGUAGCCAUGUACCAUGUAUUCCUUCUCAGUGGCCCUCGACUUUUUUUUUUUUUUUCUUUUGAGACAGGGUCUCUCAUGACCUGGAGCUUGCUGACCAAUAAGCCCCAGGGACCAACCAUUGUCCAUUUCCCCAGUGCUGUGAUGACAAGCCUGGAACACCAUGUUCAACUUUUUUUUUUAACAUGGUCUCCACACUUGUAUAGCAGUCACUCUACUAAUGGAAUAGUUGCCCCAGCCUCCGAUCCCUUGUAGACUUGAUGGGACUUUGAGACACUCCACAAAACAACUCUUCAAGUAUGUAUAAAUCACCAGGGACUGUGUUAAAUAAAGCUUUCCAGGUCUCCCCUCCAUAGAUAUGGUCCUGCGGGUCUGGAGUGAGUAUGACAAGCCUGUGUUUCAGAUACGGGUACCCCGGGAUGCUAGCGGAUGUUAUCUCUCUCCUGCUAUUCCCACAGAUCUGCAUGCCCAUUUCCUCCUGGGUUGAUGGGUAGUGAGCUGGUGCUGUUUGCAGUGGAUCCAGAAGAUACACAGCUUCCCCUCUUUCUCCUUCCCCUCCUGGCUCUUUUCCCAACAUGUGAGAAACACCAAUUUCUGAGCCUGUGAAAUAUUUAUCCUCUCCUCUCUGCAUUCUUUACAACCACUCUGCUGCAAGGCUGUUUUUCUUUGACAGCCCUUUGAGGACUAUACUAGGGGCUGUUUAAAAAUGAUUUAUAUAUUUCCAUUGACUAAAAUUUGGGACAGUUCCAGAAAACUCUGGGCUUUCUGUGUUCGUGUGCCUGUGUCUUACAUGCUCAUAUUUAUAUCUUAUAUAUUCAUCAGUGAUUCUCAAAGUGUAGUCCCUGGUCCGGCAGUGCCACUAUCAUCUGGGAGCUUGCUAGAAGUACACAUUUUGGUUCUCUUGCAUCACCUAGGGAAAUGCUGGCGGUGGGAUCAGGUCUGUCUUGCGUUCUAUCUAACAAGCCCUCCAGAUGAGUCUACUGUAUGAUAUUUGAGAACUACUGCAUUCAAUAUGUAAUUUAAAAAAUGUGCAUGUGUGUAUGUGUCGAUGUUGGAAGGAUAGCAUGCAGGCAUGCAGAGGCCAGAGGGACAGCAUUCUCAGCUGUUGGUCCUCAGAUGGACACCCCCAGCCCUCCAUUGUAUAAUUUAAAUCCUUGUGAAGUGCUGAGCAAUCCUCACUAAAGAGAAGAUAUAGCUGCUUAAGAGAAUCUAAGAGGUGCUUGGCUAAUUCUGAGGUCUCACCUUGACCAUUUCUGGGCCGAUCGGACUAGCUGGGCAGGUAGCAAUUCUCCUCUCUUGCUUGUCUAAUGGCCAUGUGCCACCUCUGUAGAAAUGCCUCUCCAAACAAAGGGAGAAGCCUUGAAGAGCUUGCCAAACCUAGAGAGCCUCAAAGCAGGCAUCACCCGUGAUUGGCAUCGGGGAUCAUUGGUGCAGAAAGCCUUCUCUUGUACUGUUUCCCUCUAACUUGUCCUAGCCAGUUUGCUCACCCCUGAGGGUACUCUGGAUUCCUUCAACAUCAGCAGCAGGCUGUGCUCAGCAGGAGGCAGCAGCUGGGCUCCUUUUAGGAAGCAUCAUUAGUUGGUUGGGUAUGCUCCAUUCAAGUCCAGGGUGAACAGGAGCACAGAAGGCCAGAUGUUGGCUCUGGGACUGUGUGAGAAUUGGAGCUGAUGCCAUUUGGUCUCGGCUGCUGCAUCCUGUGACCCCAGGGAACAACAGUGCUUGUUGUACAUAAGCCAGCUGUUUAUGGCACCUCUGAACAAGCAUAAAAUCUCUUGCUGGCUGUGGUGUUUUUUUUUUUUUAAUCUGUUAAAGUUUGUGUUGACUCCUGUGAAUUUUGCUACUGGAAAAAUCAUUGUGUCUCUCUACCUCUGACUCUGGUAGAGGGUUGGGCAAG